rnacentral:rRNA from 1 species
GACGUAGGAGGCGAGCGUUAUCCGGAUUCACUGGGCGUAAAGCGUGCGCAGGCGGUCUACUAAGACAGGUGUGAAAUCCCCGGGCUUAACCUGGGAACUGCGCUUGUAACUGGUAGGCUUGAGUGUGGCAGAGGGGGGUGGAAUUCCAGGUGUAGCAGUGAAAUGCGUAGAUAUCUGGAGGAACACCGAUGGCGAAGGCAGCCCCCUGGGCUAACACUGACGCUCAUGCACGAAAGCGUGGGGAGCAAACAGG